rnacentral:rRNA from 1 species
GAUGAACGCUGGCGGCGUGCCUAAUACAUGCAAGUCGAGCGAACGGACGAGAAGCUUGCUUCUCUGAUGUUAGCGGCGGACGGGUGAGUAACACGUGGAUAACCUACCUAUAAGACUGGGAUAACUUCGGGAAACCGGAGCUAAUACCGGAUAAUAUUUUGAACCGCAUGGUUCAAAAGUGAAAGACGGUCUUGCUGUCACUUAUAGAUGGAUCCGCGCUGCAUUAGCUAGUUGGUAAGGUAACGGCUUACCAAGGCAACGAUGCAUAGCCGACCUGAGAGGGUGAUUGGCCAGACUGGAAGUGAGAAACGGUCCAGACUCCUACGGGAGGCAGCAGUAGGGAAUCUUCCGCAAUGGGCGAAAGCCUGACGGAGCAACGCCGCGUGAGUGAUGAAGGUCUUCGGAUCGUAAAACUCUGUUAUUAGGGAAGAACAUAUGUGUAAGUAACUGUGCACAUCUUGACGGUACCUAAUCAGAAAGCCACGGCUAACUACGUG